rnacentral:snRNA from 1 species
AUACCUUUCUCGGUCUUUUGGCUAAGAUCAAGUGUAGUUUCUGUUAUUAUCAGUUUAAUAUCUGAUAUGUGGGCUAUAUGUCCAUAGAUAUUAAAUUAAUAUUUUUGUGGGGGAGGGUCCACCACGGUAGCUCGCUACUGGGCGAGCCCUGGCUUUGCCCUGCUGCCUUGGCCCGGCGCACCCCAA